GUGCAUUAUUAUCGCAUGAUCAGUCGGCAUGGAUUGGAUGGGAAAACAGUUUUCCCACUCAGUUUUCCUAGGAAACGCUGGAAGGCUACUGGAGUUCUGGGCCCAUUGGGCCCAUCGAUUAACAUGGAACGACCCAUUUACAGGGCCCAGAUAUUGGCACACUCCGAAGGCCCAGCCCACAAUCAUUCCUCUGCUCUGCCUCCCUCGGCUCUGCUCAACGAAGGAAAUACAGAGCACAGAGAGACAGGGACACAGACAGAGGCAGAGAUGGUGGUGUCCUGUCUCUCUUCGUCUUCCCCGGUCAGCUGCCCAGGGAUUCGAAUCCGAGCACCCAUUUCGGUCAACUCACGCGCCAGGGUAAGCUCAGUUCGCCUCCACUGUUGCAGGACACAUUGCAGUUACUCAUGCUUCGAAGUUAAGGACGUCCAUUAUCGACCGCCUGGGACUCAACUGAACCUUCUAAAGGGAGUCAGUUUCUCCCUUCCAGAGAAAAGUUUUGGCUUGAUUUUUGGCCAGAGUGGCAGUGGGAAAACCACUCUCUUGCAGCUCCUAGCAGGAUUGAAUGAACCAACUGCAGGUUCAAUUUGUAUUCAGAACUACAAUGUCAGUGGUGAUCUGAAAGGACCUCCAGAACCCUUGGUUUCAAAAAAAGUUGGGAUUGUGUUCCAGUUUCCCGAGAGGUACUUCAUCACUGAUAACGUGCUUGAUGAGAUAACAUUUGGAUGGCCGAGGCAAAGAGGUACCACUCAAUUUAGAGAGCAGCUUGCUUUGAAAUUGGAGAGAGCUUUCAACUGGGUUGGUUUGGACAGAAUCUCACUGGGAAAAGAUCCGCAAUCACUUAGCGGUGGCUACAAACGCCGACUUGCUCUCGCAAUUCAAUUGGUAGAAGUACCCGAUCUAUUAAUACUGGACGAGCCUCUUGCUGGUCUUGAUUGGAAGGCUCGUUCAGAUGUUGUCAAGCUUUUGAAGCAUCUUAAAAGGGAAGUAACAAUCCUUGUCGUGAGCCAUGACUUGAAGGAGUUGGUACGACUGGUAGAUCGAUCUUGGAGGAUGGAGAUGGGUGGGGUUUUGCGGGAAGAGCCACUGCCUCAUUAACAUUACUAUGAUAAGUGGUGUUGCCUCACCAGCAUGCCCUUCCUUUUGGAUCGGCUAGGUCCUCUAUAUGCCCCCAUACAUGAUAUAUCAGAUCUCAUUAGGGAAGAAUGAUGACUGCUAUCUUGAAACAGUGGGAUGUAAGCAAUAACAGGACAUAGCCAGUGGAAGUCGAGACGGGUCGAUAAGGACUAUGACUGGAAACACUUAACAGCAUACAAAACCUCAAGCUAUAAGUAUGAAGUCCAAAUAAAAGCAUCUCAGGCAGCUUCUUGUGCUACAGCUCCAGCACCAGGUCUGCAUCGAACAAAGUUAGACAUCAUCAGAUGGGGAAAAACAGUUCAUCAAGCCUCAGAGCUCUCUGGGUGGAUCUUUCUGUGAAACAUUCGAAGGACCUGCAUGGAACAUAUGAGAAGUGAUGAGACCCGAGGAAUAACAAGUUUCAAGAUUUUAAAUGGUGAGAAGCUGUUACAGCAGGCGUAAAGUGAUCUAAAGGUUUCUCCAUGUGGACCCAGUCUUCCUGUUUUGUCUCCUCAAACAGCUGCCCCAGCGACACCUUCUUGUUCCUCUUAUCUACUGCUCGCAUCUCAGGCAAUUCAACCGUCGACCCAAAAAGAUAUCCUUGAAGCGGACAAGCAGGUGUUUCAAUAAGAGUGAUCACACUGACAUAACUAUUCCUUGAGGUUCCAUUAUAAGCUUCCUCUUCUGACUCAGCCUCAAUGAACUUCUCAAGCUCUUCAUUGAUGAGUUUCAAGUCAUCGGCGGUUACUUCAUUGUUAAUCUUCUCGGUAAUAUCAUCCAAGGAUACAGGAAAUGUUGGGGUUGGGGGAUCGGUGAUCGUUGGUGCCUCAGAAGAGCCAAGAGUUCCUAUGGCUAGAAAGCCAUGGAAGAGGUCUGGAAUUUCAGCAGAAGUUUCCUGGGCAUCUAAAGGAGUUUCAUAAUACUCUUGUUUCGCGUGUCUGGAACCGUAUCGAGAACCAAGGUCUGGCUUGAUAUGAGAGUCUUGUUCUUCCUGCAGCUGUUGUGCGGAGAGGCAGGUACAGUAGCUUCCUGAAUUAAUUUAUUUAGCAUGAUUAAUACAUCAACUCGAAGACAAAUCUUGUGGCUCGUUAUAUACAUAGGGAUUGCAUCUGAAUUCAAUUCUGUGAUACUACAACGUGUCUGCCACCCAAUGCUCAUAGUUUUCACAUUAUUGGGUUUUGCAUGUUAGGGACAUCAUAGUACUGAACAUGUUGACACUAAUGCGUGCUUUUUGUUUCUGACACAAACAAUUGGUCGAGAUGGAUAGUUGGAGUUACCGAUUGACAAAUCCUUGAGCGGUUCAAUGGUAUUGUCUCGUAAUUUCCGGUGCAUCCAUCCUAGGAACUGCAGAGAGGAAAGAGUAUUAGACAAAUUUAACCAAAAGAGGAAAAACAGAGGUAGUCUCUUGAACCUCACAAAGACUUUGGACUUACCUUCAUUAUGAAUCUUUCGCUCUCAGAGGUUGAUAUUGUAUUCUUAUCAGCUUAGUUUUGUUGUCUAUAUAGAAAUAAAUGGAGAUGAACUGUAGUGCAUGACAGUUAUAUUGAGUCGGAAUAGAACUUGCUAGGAAACUCCAAUUCCUGAUAUGUCUGAGAGAGGGAAAGCAUAUAGACAAGUACAAGUUGGGUGGUUUGUUCUCUCAAGAUCAAAUCAGUUGGACAGGUGGAGGGAGUGGUUUUAACUUUAAGAGGCCACACGAUAAGUCGGUAACAGCUACUCUGCCUAGGUGUAUUUAUACACGAGCACUUAGAGUUGGUUGUAGAAAUAAUACAUCCAUACAGCAACUUUUUAUUUAUUUAUUUUUUUCCUUCUCUUCUCUCUCUCUCUCUCUCUCUCUCUCUCUCUCCGCCUCUCUCUCCCCCUCUGUCUAUAUUUCAAAUGAAUAUAUAUACAUAAGAAGUAUAUUUUAUCUUACAGUUCAGUGACUUAUAUAACGAUAAAAUUCUUUGAUAGACAUCCUGUUUCCUUCGAAGCAUAAGAGCGCAUCAUGUUGUACCCUUUACGUGAAAGUUGUGCGUUACAUGUCUGUAUAGAAUAGGAUAUAUCCGGGUGAAUAUAUUUUCUCAAUUUGGAAACUCUUCCUUUUACUUGUAUACCUAAUUAUGCAUGGAGAUAACUUUUGAUUUUCUUUGUAAGCUUAUCUGAUGCACCAGUUCCAUUGAGACUGUCCCCAGCUAUGUCUAUUUUCCCACCCUACUCUCAUUAAAUAUUCGUUAAUAAUGAGAACCACUUCCGCUGUCUUCUUUUUUCUUCUUUAUUAGGUCGGCAAUGAUUUGAGAGAUCCUCGCUAAUCUCUGCUUUAAGAACAGUUACUGCUCGAAUUCCUGUGCUAAUUACUUGGGACCAAUAUAUACAGGUAUGAACCUGAGCAUGGAAUUACGAACUUUUUGUUCAUAGCUCAUGGCCCUUCAACUCUGCUUAAUGUUCUCGCAAAUAUAUCUUUUCCAACCGGUCUUUGCAUGCUUGAGCAUUGAUUCCUCAUUUAAGCUGUAAUGCAUAUGCAACCAUUCGCUAUGAUCGUGCAAGCCCUUCUGUUGAAGUGUCAUGUUGAUGUCUUUUCAUGGACUUUAUUUAUGAUAGUUUUGGUUGAAUAUGAUUGUUGCUUACUAAUUAUAGCCAUAAUCUAUAUCUUAAUAGUUUAGACCGAAUCACUUUCAGUUAUCUCAUGUACUUAGCUCACAGAGAUUGCGUGAUUACCUCCCACAAGUUCUAGAUUUUGCACAGUUGCAAUAUCCUGGAACGAGUCAUAAUAGGAUUUUGAUUUAUUCCUUGGUUUACAAAAUUAGUAUAAUUUUUCUGCUUUCCUAAGUUGGAUACAUAAAGCAAUUGAUACAAAGAAGAGCUGAGGACUGGGGGUUCAGUCCGAACUAUAGUGAUGCAUGUCAUGGUGCAGGUACUUUUGUUUCGAUCCUUUCAUACAAUUGAUCACUUUUGUUCCACUCGUGACAUCAAUAAUUGAAACACAGGCUACAAGGAAAUCGAUCGAUUUCUUUAAUUGCUUCGUGAGGUGUAUUUCUGGCAGGAGAGGGGCUUUUUGACGGGAUUGCUGGCCUUCCUAUACAGAUUUGCCGGACAAUCAUUCAGAUGUAUCACAGGGUGAAGAGGAAGAUGCUGCGAGCUUGGGGACAAAAGAGGUAAUGCAAAAUACUACGUAGCCCCCCUCUGCAAAGAAUCUUUGAGUGACUGAUAAUUGUCAAUGGGAAAUAUUAGAAGAGAUUCCUGUGUCAGUCAAGCCGAACGUACUGGAGUUUGCCCGUCACUUCUAUCCUGAAAAUCAAUAAUUGUGACUCGCAUGCUGUAUAGUUUACUUGAUAGCUACUCGUUACUGACAUGUAUUCUCUCACUUUUGCAACUGUAGAUUCAAUUUGCUCAAGUUCAUGCUUAUUUUUGUGAUCGGCACUGUUCUUGCUUCUGACGAUCAAGAUUUACAUCAGGAUGUUGUAGCAUUGAUGUCCUUGCUCGAGCCUAAUACACGACUAUCACCUUACAAUCUCUGCAUUCCUCCUUGAUUUGCAUUACAAUCACUCCUGCAAGCUGGGGGUUUCAUGCUAAGCUGUAUUUUCACGCGGUAUCAGAACACAGAGUCCCAUAUAGUCUGCACGUGUACAGCUCGGGCUUACGCACGGAAAGGAUCAUUGACUUGACUCCACGUGGCAUGGCUGUCAGGUUUUGCAGAACUGGGUCUGGUUUUGUUUAAAACACGGCUUCCUGGCCGUGGUUUCGUGGAGGCAGGCCUGCCUGAAUUCGUGAAAAUGAACUAUUGACUUGAAGUGCAUGCUGAGGCUAUCUUCAGAUGGAGGGCAUCCCCCAUUUUGAAGCUAACAAACGAGACGCUAAGGGACGAAGCAGUUGCCUCUUUUGGAGGCAAAACAAGCGGGAAAAGGCCCAUACCCCAAACCCAAACAAACACAACGGCUUGCAGAAGCGCUGUCAUGUCCCUCUUGGGUAUUGUCGGGGCUCCUGGGCCCACUUGACGAUGAUUCGAUGGUGACCCAUGUGGAAGUACACGUGGGAUAUUUACCCGUCGGACGGGUGGAGCCCACCAUCGACCAUUCCGAUUGGCAUAGAUGUCGUCGUCAUUUUAGCGGGGAGUACAGUCCGUGGUGUCCUCGUGACGAGACCUCAGUCGUCGCGGAUGUUCUUCCAUAGAUUCGGUUGGAGCAGAAUGGGGGAGUCCACCGUCGAACAUCAGCCCCUUGGAUCCCCUGAGAUCCUCCUGCUCUCACUGGCUCUACGUGUUUGCCAUCAUGGUGAAAAGAGGUAUGAUGUAAUAGAUUAGACGGUCAUAUUGCUCACUACGACGCGAAAUAUUGGAACUGGAGUCUCUUGGACCCGCUGCAUCGUAUGGGUCUGUGCUAAGUGUCCAUGGCGGGCGGCUCCGACUUCUGUCAUGACAAUUUGGUCCCAUCGCUGCUGAAAGAGAUUGUAUCUGCACUGUCUGGGUAAACUAGAAAUUUCUUUUCGGAUGAUAAUGGCUACUGGACAAGGACGGCUUGUCAUGUUAGUUGAUGGUUACAGUAAACAUAUGAUUUUGAAUAAUUCAGUCAGAAACUUUCAAGUGGAAA